rnacentral:rRNA from 1 species
CUUAACACAUGCAAGUCGAACGGAGUUUUAACGGAAGUUUCGGAUGGAAGUUUAAGAACUAGUGGCGGACGGGUGAGUAACGCGUGGGUAACCUGCCUCAGUACAGGGGGGAUAACAGUUAGAAAUGACUGCUAACACCGCAUAAUAUAGUGAAACCGCAUGAUUUUUGCUAUCAAAUAGUUUAUAGGUAUGAGAUGGGCCCGCGUCUGAUUAGCUAGUUGGUGGGGUAAAAGCCUACCAAGGCGACGAUCAGUAGCCGGCUUGAGAGAGUGACCGGCCACAUUGGGACUGAGACACGGCCCAAACUCCUACGGGAGGCAGCAGUGGGGAAUAUUGGACAAUGGGGGAAACCCUGAUCCAGCGACGCCCGCGUGAGUGAAGAAGUAUUUCGGUAUGUAAAGCUCUAUCAGCAGGGAAGAUAAUGACAGUACCUGACUAAGAAGCCCCGGCUAACUACGUGCCAGCAGCAGC